rnacentral:rRNA from 1 species
UACGAAGGGUGCAAGCGUUAAUCGGAAUUACUGGGCGUAAAGCGUGCGCAGGCGGUUGUGCAAGACAGAUGUGAAAUCCCCGGGCUCAACCUGGGAACUGCAUUUGUGACUGCACGGCUAGAGUGUGUCAGAGGGGGGUAGAAUUCCACGUGUAGCAGUGAAAUGCGUAGAUAUGUGGAGGAAUACCGAUGGCGAAGGCAGCCCCCUGGGAUAACACUGACGCUCAUGCACGAAAGCGUGGGGAGCAAACAGG